CCUCGCACGGCUCCACCCCGACAGCCGCCUCGCGCCCUCGCCUCGCUGUUCCUCGCCACCGUUCGCACCCCUGCCGCCGCCGGCCGCCCCGCCGCCCAGGCGCCCUGGAAGCUCUCACCUUUCCUCCAACCCGCCCGCCCAGCCGUCGAUCCAGGGCUCCAAGCGGCAGGCGCGCCCCUGAUCCCCUCUGGCCUCUGCCCUGCCGGCUGUGGGCUGUCUGAUCCCCUGCCGCCGCCCGCCAGUUGGCUGCCUGGCGGUCCUGCGCCCCUGCCCUCGCCCCCCUCCAAGUCUCCAACCAAAUCCGGCUAGUAGCAACAAAAGCGAGAAUUGUUGAAGAAUGAAGAGGCCAGGAGACAUUGUUUCUCUUUUCCAAAUGAUGAUCACUUUAGAAGAGAAGUUUUUCUUGCAGUCAUUGAUCAAAUUAGUCAAGAGCUUGAAAAUCGGUUUGAUGAGAUCAAUAUGGAGCUGCUAUCUUGUAUGUCCGCUUUGAAUCCCGCCAACUCAUUUGCAGCUUUUGAUGCACAAAAGGUACGAAGACUUCUGAGUUUUAUCCCAAGGAUUUUUCAAGUGCCGAGUUGAUACACCUUGAACUACAACUUGAUAACUAUAUUGAUAACAUUAGAAAUGAUGAGAACUUCCAAGGCCUUGGAAAUUUUGUUGAUCUCACGGUUAAGCUUUCUCAAGCAGGGAGACAUAUAGUUCAUCAUUUGGUGUACUUGCUUUUAAAAUUGGUAUUGAUUCUACCGGUGGCAACGACAAAUGUUGAGAUAGCAUUUUCUGCCAUGAGUUUUGUGAAGAACAAGUUGAGAAAUAAGAUGGAUGAUAGUCUUUUGGAUGAUUGCCUAGUCACAUACAUUGAGAGGGAUGCUUUCUCCGAGGUGAAUGAAGAUGACAUAAUUGGUACCUUCGUGGCAAUGCGAAAGCGUAGGCCAGAAACAUAGUCUUUUUGAACUUCUCAAGGCAAGCUGCAAGGUGCUAGGCUUGGCCUUGGCGUCUUCCGUUGGAUGGGUCCGCUGCAUCUUCGGCAGGCUAUGAAAUAUCCACUGUCAAAAGGGCAUGGCGGUUCAUGUGUUGUAACCUGCAGGUCUGGAUACUUAAGGCUCAUCGGACUACCUCCACCUCGUGCGACAACCUCAGCUUUCGUCGCCGCGGGAUGAAAGCGGUUUGGCUGCAACCUUGGUGGUUUCUUGGUUUUGGUGACUCCCUGGGUAAAAGAGACCUCCAAGCCUGGCUGCUUACGGCUCAGCGAACUACCUUCUCCCUGUCGACUACCUAGGCUCACCCCUCUGUGAGAUGAUGGCGGUUGCGCUGCAACCGUGGUGGCUUUGUGGUUCUGGUGAGGUGUUGCUUGCUGCUGGCCUAUAAUGCCACGUCAUGCCUCGGCCGGACCCCUCCCCUCUCCUCCUUGUCGGACCUCGGGGUCCAUUCCACGAUGUGCUUCCUACCUAGCUCACCACCACAAGUGCUUCGAGGCCCGAAUAAUAUCAUGCAUACGAAGCACCUAUGAAAUCGGAGCACACGAUGGAAACAACGAGUAUGAGAAGAUAAGGCACAAAGUUUUUCUUACACACUAACUAUGCUUCCUACAAUGGUGCAUCACGCUUCAUACAUGGCUGGAUACACUUCUCGUUGUACAUUAAGCAGUUCUGCUUCCAACAUUCGUGUACUGUGCAUCAAGCACUCAAAUUUUGAAUAGCCUACAUUCCAAUGUUUUGCUUCAAACGUCCAGUUCUAAGAAAUAACAAACGAACUAGAAUCUAUAUUUGGGAACAUAAAACGGAUCUUGGAGUAGUUAAUUAGGACGGAGUUUUUGGGAGCAGUUAAUUAGGGCAGAUUUUUUGGAAGCAAUUAAUAAGGAAAGUGAUCAAAUCAAGGACUUGUCUCCUAAUUAGGUGGAAAUUCCCACGUAAGGCUGGUCGUAAUGGUAGUAUCAUAGUUAGUAUAUGCAUGUCAACUAGACAAUUUUGAUGAGGUGUCAUAGCAUUAAAUGAAGAAAGAGAGGGUGGAGAAUCAUAUCAUGAUACCGUAUUAUAAUAAAUGCUAUACUACUUU